rnacentral:lncRNA from 1 species
UUUUUUAAUGACUGGCUAUAGUAAUCAUGUGUACUAUGUAUAUAUCUAUACAAACAACAUUUACUUUAUUUUUUAAUGACUGGCUAUACAUUGGACUUUGUUAUUUUUAUUGAAACUUUUUUACUCUUAUUUUCUUAUUCAUCUGUAAAAGUGUAGGAAAUCAAAUUUGUUAUCAAUACACUCAAGUGAACAUGGUGUAUUUAUUGACUUUUGAGAAACUGCUUCACUUAACAUUAAACAUUUAAUUCAAUAACAGUCAAACUAAACGAGAAAAGAUGUUAUCUGAUGACACAAUUGAUGUUUGAUACUAUCUGCACUACAUUUGUAACAUAAUUGAUGUGGUAUACUCAUAUCAAUAAUACUAAUGAUGAAACAAUUACAAAACAGAAAAAGAUAAACAGUUAAAAGUAAAAGUAAUAAUGAUAGGUAAUACAGAAUCAAUAAUA